rnacentral:rRNA from 1 species
GAUGAACGCUGGCGGCGUGCCUAAUACAUGCAAGUCGAGCGAACAGACGAGGAGCUUGCUCCUCUGACGUUAGCGGCGGACGGGUGAGUAACACGUGGAUAACCUACCUAUAAGACUGGGAUAACUUCGGGAAACCGGAGCUAAUACCGGAUAAUAUAUUGAACCGCAUGGUUCAAUAGUGAAAGACGGUUUUGCUGUCACUUAUAGAUGGAUCUGCGCCGCAUUAGCUAGUUGUUAAGGUAAUGGGUUACCAAGGGGAGUAUGCGUAGCCGACCGCGGAGGGUGGUCGCCCACCCUGGAGCUGGGACGCGGUCCAGGGUCCUACGGGACGCAGCAGUAGGGAAUCUUCCGCAAUGGGCGAAAGCCUGACGGAGCAACGCCGCGUGAGUGAUGACGGUCUUCGGAUCGUAAAACUCUGUUAUUAGGGAAGAACAAAUGUGUAAGUAACUAUGCACGUCGUGACGGUACCUAAUCAGAAAGCCACGGCUAACUACGUG